rnacentral:rRNA from 1 species
GUCCCAGCAGCCGCGGNAAUACGGGGGGUGCAAGCGUUACUCGGAAUCACUGGCCUUAAAGAGCAUGUAGGCGGAUUGAUAAGUUUGAAGUGAAAUCCUAUAGCUUAACUAUAGAACUGCUUUGAAAACUGUUAAUCUAGAAUGUGGGAGAGGUAGAUGGAAUUUCUGGUGUAGGGGUAAAAUCCGUAGAGAUCAGAAGGAAUACCGAUUGCGAAGGCGAUCUACUGGAACAUUAUUGACGCUGAGAUGCGAAAGCGUGGGGAGCAAACAGGAUUAGAUACCCUGGUAGUCCACGCCCUAAACGAUGUACACUAGCUGUUGUGAGACUAGAUCUUGCAGUAAUGCAGUUAACACAUUAAGUGUANCGCCUGGGGAGUACGGUCGCAAGAUUAAAACUCAAAGGAAUAGACGGGGACCCGCACAAGCGGUGGAGCAUGUGGUUUAAUUCGACGAUACACGAAGAACCUUACCUGGACUUGACAUAGUAAGAAUGAUUUAGAGAUAGAUUAGUGUCUGCUUGCAGAAACUUGCAUACAGGCGCUGCACGGCUGUCGUCAGCUCGUGUCGUGAGAUGUUGGGUUAAGUCCCGCAACGAGCGCAACCCUCGUCCUUAGUUGCUAACAGUUCGGCUGAGAACUCUAAGGAGACUGCCUACGCAAGUAGGAGGAAGGUGAGGAUGACGUCAAGUCAUCAUGGCCCUUACGUCCAGGGCUACACACGUGCUACAAUGGGGUAUACAAAGAGCGGCUAUACAGUGAUGUGGAGCAAAUCUUAUAAAAUACCUCCCAGUUCGGAUUGUAGUCUGCAACUCGACUACAUGAAGUUGGAAUCGCUAGUAAUCGUAGAUCAGCUAUGCUACGGUGAAUACGUUCCCGGGUCUUGUACUCACCGCCCGUCACA